GAGAUGCUGCUAUAUCAUUGAGUUGCUGUUAAUUUCUGUUGAAGCUUUUUUUUUUUUUUUUCUUAGAAUGUCCACUCCUAACAGUACGAGGUAACUGACGGAGGGCCAGGGUUCCAUAGGUAAGUGUUAGUUUAGGAGCUGAGUGUAUUGCCUAGGAAAUAGCUUGCCUUUGCAAGCAAACUUCCUUACAAUGUCAUUGAAAAAAUAUCUGUCUAGGACCUUUUUACAUUAAUCUAGAAGAAGCAUGAAUUCAGGGGUGUUACUUAUUGAUUAAUUAGCAUAUGUGACAAGAAUUGAUCCGAGGGUGUUACAUGUCAUUUACUACAUCCUAGAUUCAUUCUUUCCCUGCAGCCUCUGGAUUAGCAGGAGAUAACAUUAAAAAGCUUAUUGGAGAGUCAGUUGACCAGGAUUCAGUUGCUGGAGCCGUCAAAUACUGACUUUAUCUCAACUUUCACUAAAUUUCCACCAAGCCUUAUUUCCUUAUCAGACCAUGAAGAAGCAUGGAUAAACCUCCUCUAGGCAUAAUGGAGAUGAGUGAGAACAGUGCCUGGAUGACCAUGCUGCCCUUCCCUGUGACAGCUAAAUCAUCAUUGUGGCAACCAAGAAACUCUCAGAGGCAGACCCUGGGUUUCAGCAAAGUAUUUGCAUAUAAUCAAUGUCAUGUUCUUCCAAUUACACCAAGAGAUAGAAAGCAAUAGACUUUCGCCAAUGAUUGAGAUAGUCAAAGAUGAUUGGCCCUCUAUCCACUCAACAGAUCCUUAGUGGCACACUGAUAGAUACAUAAUCUUUAAGUAUUUUUAGGGAAAAUUUGAUCGUGAAAUUCAACUCUUAGUCACGCAUACUCUCUGACAAACUCACAGUCUCUCGUAGAUCUCCAGUCUCCUCAUCUGCCAAGCAAGGGAAACAGCUUCCUUCAGUUGCACAGUGAUCUGGGGAAGCCGGGGAUAACUGAGCCCACACAUCACUGAACCUGCAGAAACUAUAUCAUCAAGUGGGAAUCCUUUAAUUUCUGCACCUCAAGCUUUUCACAUGUUCACCAUGGAUGUCCCCUGUAGAUGAAUUUCUAAAUGAUCUUAUUAAAUAAAAACCAUGGAGCCAGAUAUAGGGGUUAAAGCCUGAGAGAGAUCAAAGGAAUAGGAAUAGCUACAAGCUAACCUCACUGAUACCUAAGCUUCCAAAUUUGAUUUCCAGCCAUUUGGAAUUAACUCCCAGGAAUGAUUAUGGAUGUUUCUUCUAUGUAAUGAAAGAACUUCUGUCUUCAUAUGUGAAGCUUCCCAUUUUUAAGGAAUAUUCAGCUUUACAGUGUGACUUAGAGAUGAAUUGUGGUAUAAUCAUGUGUCAAAGACACUAUAUCCUAACAUGCCACAAACUUCAGGUUGAAAGUCUCCUUCAUUUUACUGUAAAAUCUUGUUAAUUGAGAAAGUCCCUGGUUCUGUAAGUAAAAGUAUUCUUUUUAGUUAUUGCCUAUGUACUUUCUUUCAUGUCCUCUUUCUCAAAAUAGCUCAUAUUUAUAUUUGUUUUUAUUUGCAUAUUUGUAAUCAGCAUUAAUGUUGACUUUGCAAAUUCUCACUAUUUGAGAAACUCACGAUUUAUAUCUGAUAUCCCCUCAAAGACCAUGCAUUAACGUCAUAGUGGUUAUCUGACCGGCUUUUGGAAUGUAAUGGUCAUCACAAGUGCUUUAAGCUCACCAGUGGAUUGACUCAUUGAUGAUUGAUUGUUGGUGGAUUCAUACCUUCAUGACUUUAUUCAGGGGAGGUAGAAACUAGAAGAUGGUGCCUAGUUGGAGGAAGUAGCUCAUUCCAGGCAUUGCUUUGAAGGAUGUACUUU